rnacentral:rRNA from 1 species
UCCUACGGGGGGCAGCAGUGGGGAAUAUUGGGCAAUGGGCGCAAGCCUGACCCAGCAGCGCCGCGUGAAGGAAGAAGGCUUUCGGGUUGUAAACUUCUUUUACGAGGGAAGAGCAGAAGACGGUACCUCUUGAAUAAGCCACGGCUAACUACGUGCCAGCAGCCGCGGUAAUACGUAGGUGGCAAGCGUUAUCCGGAUUUACUGGGUGUAAAGGGCGUGUAGGCGGGACUGCAAGUCAGAUGUUAAAACCACGGGCUCAACCUGUGGCCUGCAUUUGAAACUGUAGUUCUUGAGUACUGGAGAGG